rnacentral:rRNA from 1 species
CCUACGGGAGGCAGCAGUGGGGAAUAUUGCACAAUGGGGGAAACCCUGAUGCAGCGACGCCGCGUGAGUGAAGAAGACAUUCGUUAUGUAAAGCUCUAUCAGCAGGGAAGAAAAUGACGGUACCUGAGUAAGAAGCCCCGGCUAACUACGUGCCAGCAGCCGCGGUAAUACGUAGGGGGCAAGCGUUAUCCGGAUUUACUGGGGGGAAAGGGAGCGUAGACGGCAGUGCAAGUCUGGAGUGAAAGGCGGGGGCUCAACCCCCGGACUGCUCUUGAAACUGUACGGCUGGAGUGCAGGAGAGGUAAGCGGAAUUCCUAGUGUAGCGGUGAAAUGCGUAGAUAUUAGGAGGAACACCAGUGGCGAAGGCGGCUUACUGGACUGUAACUGACGUUGAGGCUCGAAAGCGUGGGGAGCAAACAGGAUUAGAUACCCGAGUAGUC